rnacentral:tRNA from 1 species
GGUUCCAUGGCUCAGUUGGUUAGCGCGUGGUGCUAAUAUUCUUCAGAUGUUAACGCCAAGGUCGAGGGUUCGACCCCCUCUGGAACCA